GAAAGAAAAAGCAGAACACGCCAUUAACAAGGCCAGAACCCCGACUGCCAUUCCUGGACGGGAGCCACCAACACCCGCAAAAUCGAUCGAUUCAGCCUGGGACGCUUGCUGUUUCCGAACCUCUGUUGCCACCUAUCCCAGUUUGGAGGGAAUUUUCCCAAGGAUGGUGAAGAAGGGAUUUCCACACGCCGCCUCACUCAGCCCCGCACCCCUGGCCACCAGCCAGGACUUAGGGUCAUGUUUCUGGAGAUCCAGGGAAUUUAAACCAAUGAAUACAUAAAAACAGUCACAUGAGUGAUGACUAACAGUAGCAGUAGACAGGCCACCACUCUUCCUUGCCAUAGUCAUCCAAAAUGAAAUGAGCAUCUUUUGAAAACCUAAGCCUCAUUCUACUCCUGUCCCUCUUUUGUCACUCCUAUCUUCCUGUUUUCCAGGCUUCAUGACCACACUGCUGUAGGAAGCCAUAAGUUGGAAAUCAACGGGCCUGGCUUGAAGUGUGGCCUUAGGCAACACCGUUCUCAUCUACAUCUGGAUUCUCCAACAAAGCUGGGAAAAAAACGAUCCAAGGGAAGCCAAUCAAAGAGCCUGGAUUGCCAGUCUUCCCUGCUGCGAUCUCCGCCUGCGAUUCUCCAGGGGAAAUGUCCUUUAUGACCUUACAGCUCACCUGGAACCCUCCACCUAGGGCCCGAGGCAGCACAUCCUCUCGUGCCCGGGCACUUCCAGGCAUUGCCCUGAGUACUGGGCACUUCACACACUGGGCUGGACCACUCACCGGAGUGAAUAAGGAGGCUUGAAGCUGUCCUGGUACAACAAUGGAAUGAAGCGCUAGUCUCAGCUCAGCCACUUGGAAUAUGACUCCAACUCUCACAUUUCUGUGGGGUGUAUUCAUUUCAGCUUUUUGUUUGGUGCUAUGGGGAGGGAAGGGCCCUCAGACUGGCAUCCUUUUUCUUCCAGGAUGAUGAUGAAUAUUAUGAAAGUCUGAGGCUGUUUUUAAAAUUCUGCUCUAAUACGUUGUUUUUCUGUGCAUAAGAAUUAUGUAUUCUUAGCUGCAAAACUGGAAUCCGUCUGCUCAUGGAUAAACUUCUGGCCAUGAGCAUGUACCUUUCAGGUAACUUCCCUAUCAGAGAAGCUUACAAUCAAGAAUCCUACUUCCCUAGUUCCCUACACAGGCCCAGGAGGCUUUUGGUGGUAUCCGCUGGACUUUUGAAAAUUAGGGAAUUUCUCCUACUCUGAACUCUACCAGGAAUCACAUAUCAAGAUCUCAGUACCAUCUUACCUAGACCCUCUUGACCUCUUCUUUCUCCAUAAUCUCUUUCUAGCUCAUGUCAUCCAGACUCGAGGGCCCCAUUCUCAGUUUGACACUGAGGACACCCACGCUAUUAUCUCUGGCUGUGACCUUUCCCACGAGCUCCAAAUUCACACCAUCUUUUGACGUCUCCACUUAACUUCCCCAUUUCGGUGUCUCAAACUUGACAAUUCAAAACAGAACUCCCUCCCACUUCCAAACUGGUUUCCUACCCAACUUUCCCAGGCCCCCAGUUUCUCAAGUCAGAAAUCUAUGAGUCAUCCUUGAUGUUUGCCAUUCCCUCAUCCCUCCCAUCCAACCCAUUCGUAGGCUCUUGGGAAUCUACCUCCAAAAUGUCUCUGGAAUCCAUCCUCUUCUCUCCACCUCCACUGCCAACCGCCUCUCACCUGCAAUAGCUCUGAGGCAGCCUCCCCACUUCUUCUGCCUCCCAUCCCCACCCCUACAUAUUCCUGUCCUAUCUCCACCCAGAAGCAAACAAGAUCUUCUUUAACUGUAAAUUGGUUCACAUCUCCCCUGCUUAGAACUUUCCAAGGCCUUGACAUUAUUCCAAGAUCAAGACCAAACUCUUGACUGUGGCCAGUGAGACCUUUCCUGAACUGGUCCUACCUACCUCUGCAAACCCAUCUAGUGACACCUUUCCCUUAGCUUGCCUCCAACAUAGUGUAUUAGUUUCCUAUGGCUGCUGCAGGAAAUGACACAAAUUAUCCCCUUAUAGUCGUGGAAGCCAGAAGUCCAAAAUGGGCUGGAGCCAAGGCAGGCAGGGCUAUGCUGCUUGCAGAGGUUCUAGGGGAGAAUCUAUUUCUUGGUCUUCUUUGGCUUCUAGAGCUGCAAUCCUUGGCUCAUGGCGCCUUCCUCCACCUUCAGAGCCAGCAGUGUAGCAUCUUACUUGGUGAUCACAUUUCUUUCUUCUCCAGUGUCAUAUUUCCCUUUGCUUUACAUUGUCCUUUAAAUUUCUCUUAUAAGGAAACUGCGAUUGCAUUUAAGACCCACCCAGGUAAUCCAAGAUGAUCUUCCCAUCUCAAGACCCUUAACUGAAUCCCACCUCCAAAGUCCCUUUUGCCAGGUAAGGCAACAUUCCCAGGUCCCGGGGAUUAGGAUCUACAUAUGUUCGGGAGUGACUAUUGAGCCUACCAUGCAUACCACGCUCCUUCCCUCACCAGGGUCUUUGUACCUCUUGUCCCCCAUUACUAGAAUGCUCCCUUCUUCCCUCUCACUCUUUGCUUGGCCAUAUCUUUCUCAUUCUUGGGGACACAGCUUACCUGGCACCUCCUCAGACAACCUGUCUCGGACCAGCCCCUUAACAGCCUGAAGACUUUUUUUUUUUUUUUUUUGAUACGGAGUCUUGCUCUGUUGCCCAGGCUAGAGUGCAGUAGUGUGAUCUCAGCUCACUGCAACCUCUGCCUCCCGGGUUCAAGCAGUUCUCCUGCUUCAACCUCCCAAGUAGCUGGGAUUACAGGCACCUGCUACCAUGCCCGGCUAAUUUUUGUAUUUUUAGUAGAGACAGGGUUUCACCAUGUUGGCCAGGCUGGUCUCGAACUCCCGACCGCAAGUGAUCUGCCCACCUUGGCCUCCCAAAGUGCUGAGAUUACAGGCAUGAGCCACAGUGCCUGGAUGAAGACUUUUUCAUGUCUUUUUCAACUGACUUGUUUUCUGCCUGCCUCUCCCUCCACCCUCACCUAAGCACCUUGAGGACCAUGUCUGUUUUGUCAAUCCACUGGUCAUCCUAAUAUAACUGGUUAAUAAAUCAUUGCUGAAUUUAUUUAUUUAUUUAUUUAUGACAGUCUCGCUGUGUCGCCCAGGCUGGAGUGCAGUGGCAUGAUCUCAGCUCACUGCAACCUCCUCCUCCAAGAUUCAAGCGAUUCUCCUGCCUCUGCUUCCCAAGUAGCUGGGAUUACAGGCGUGCGCUGCCACACCCAGCUAACUUUUUUUUUUCUUCUUCUAUUUUUAGAGACAGGGUUUUGCCAUGUUGGCCAGGCUGGUCUUGAACUUCUGACCUCAAGUGAUCCAGCUGCCUCAGCCUCCCAAAGUGCUGAGAUUACAGGCAUGAGCCACCAUGCCUGGCCUCAUUGCUGAAUGAAUUUAAAGAUGACAAACUGACAACCCAAUACAGUGCUAUGCAAAUGGGCUGCUGUGUGUACUCCUCAGCGAAAGGAGACUCAACACCACCUUCCUCCUGAUCUGCUGUAUCAGAAACAAUGGUCUGGGCAGAACAGGGCACCAAUCACAAAGAAAACCCAUAGACACACUCCCAUGCAGGGUCCAGGGAGAUGCCACACCACCGAGUCAGCCAGACGCAAAACCUUUCAAGGAAGUAGGAUUUUACCUUGCUGGGUGACCACCUGAUCCCUUGCUUAUUAAACGCAGCUAAGCACUAUUUUAACACAAGGCCUGCAUGAGAGGCUGCUCGCUGUGGAGAGCCAGCCAUAAGUAAACCUUCUCCAUCCUUCUGUUAAAGACUCCUGGAGCCACUUUGAGGGAAUCGAGGGGGGCCAAGGGGCCUUUUCACAUGUGUUGCAGCCUUUUAGGCUGGGUACGGGGAGGCUCCUGCACAGCUGAAAACUUCAC
rnacentral:lncRNA from 10 species